GUGCAACCUGCCUUUAUCAGGGGGAUAGCCUUUCGAAAGGAAGAUUAAUACCCCAUAAUAUUUAGAAUGGCAUCAUUUUAAAUUGAAAACUCCGGUGGAUAGAGAUGGGCACGCGCAAGAUUAGAUAGUUGGUGAGGUAACGGCUCACCAAGUCUACGAUCUUUAGGGGGCCUGAGAGGGUGAUCCCCCACACUGGUACUGAGACACGGACCAGACUCCUACGGGAGGCAGCAGUGAGGAAUAUUGGACAAUGGGUGCGAGCCUGAUCCAGCCAUCCCGCGUGAAGGACGACGGCCCUAUGGGUUGUAAACUUCUUUUGUAUAGGGAUAAACCUAGAUACGUGUAUCUAGCUGAAGGUACUAUACGAAUAAGCACCGGCUAACUCCGUGCCAGCAGCCGCGGUAAUACGGAGGGUGCAAGCGUUAUCCGGAUUUAUUGGGUUUAAAGGGUCCGUAGGCGGAUCUGUAAGUCAGUGGUGAAAUCUCACAGCUUAACUGUGAAACUGCCAUUGAUACUGCAGGUCUUGAGUGUUGUUGAAGUAGCUGGAAUAAGUAGUGUAGCGGUGAAAUGCAUAGAUAUUACUUAGAACACCAAUUGCGAAGGCAGGUUACUAAGCAACAACUGACGCUGAUGGACGAAAGCGUGGGGAGCGAACAGGAUUAGAUACCCUGGUAGUCCACGCCGUAAACGAUGCUAACUCGUUUUUGGUAUUUCGGUAUCAGAGACUAAGCGAAAGUGAUAAGUUAGCCACCUGGGGAGUACGAACGCAAGUUUGAAACUCAAAGGAAUUGACGGGGGCCCGCACAAGCGGUGGAUUAUGUGGUUUAAUUCGAUGAUACGCGAGGAACCUUACCAAGGCUUAAAUGGGAAAUGACAGGUUUAGAAAUAGACUUUUCUUCGGACAUUUUUCAAGGUGCUGCAUGGUUGUCGUCAGCUCGUGCCGUGAGGUGUUAGGUUAAGUCCUGCAACGAGCGCAACCCCUGUCACUAGUUGCCAUCAUUAAGUUGGGGACUCUAGUGAGACUGCCUACGCAAGUAGAGAGGAAGGUGGGGAUGACGUCAAAUCAUCACGGCCCUUACGCCUUGGGCCACACACGUAAUACAAUGGCCGGUACAGAGGGCAGCUACACUGCGAAGUGAUGCAAAUCUCGAAAGCCGGUCUCAGUUCGGAUUGGAGUCUGCAACUCGACUCUAUGAAGCUGGAAUCGCUAGUAAUCGCGCAUCAGCCAUGGCGCGGUGAAUACGUUCCCGGGCCUUGUACACACCGCCCGUCAAGCCAUGGAAGUCUGGGGUACC
rnacentral:rRNA from 1 species